AGGGUUCGAUCAUGGCUCAGAACGAACGCUGGCGGUGUGCUUAACACAUGCAAGUCGAACGAGAAAGUUUCCUUCGGGGAACUAGUAAAGUGGCGCAAGGGUGAGUAACACGUGAAUAAUCUGCCCUCGAGAUCGGGAUAACUUGGCGAAAGCUAAGCUAAUACCGGAUAAGACCACAUUUCAUAAGAAAUGAGGGAAAAGGAGUCUCAAUCUUCACUCGAGGAUGAGUUCGCGGACCAUUAGCUUGUUGGUGAGAUAAAAGCUCACCAAGGCUACGAUGGAUAGCCGGCCUGAGAGGGUGAACGGCCACACUGGAACUGAGACACGGUCCAGACUCCUACGGGAGGCAGCAGUGGGGAAUAUUGCGCAAUGGGCGAAAGCCUGACGCAGCAACACCGUGUGAGCGAUGAAGGCUUUAGGGUCGUAAAGCUCUGUCAAAUGGGAAGAAUUCUGGCGGUACCAUUAGAGGAAGCCCCGGCUAACUCCGUGCCAGCCGCCGCGGUAAUAC
rnacentral:rRNA from 1 species